GACGAAGGGGGCUAGCGUUGUUCGGAAUUACUGGGCGUAAAGGGCGCGUAGGCGGCCUGAUAAGUAGGGGGUGAAAUCCUGCGGCUUAACCGCAGGGCUGCCUUCUAAACUGUCAGGCUAGAGCACAGUAGAGGCAGGUGGAAUUCCCGGUGUAGCGGUGGAAUGCGUAGAGAUCGGGAAGAACAUCAGUGGCGAAGGCGGCCUGCUGGGCUGUUGCUGACGCUGAGGCGCGACAGCGUGGGGAGCAAACAGG
rnacentral:rRNA from 1 species